rnacentral:rRNA from 1 species
GAUGAACGCUGGCGGCGUGCCUAAUACAUGCAAGUCGAGCGAACGGACGAGAAGCUUGCUUCUCUGAUGUUAGCGGCGGACGGGUGAGUAACACGUGGAUAGCCUACCUAUAAGACUGGGAUAACUUCGGGAAACCGGAGCUAAUACCGGAUGAUAUUUUGAACCGCAUGGCUCAAAAGUGAAAGACGGUCUUGCUGUCACUUAUAGAUGGAUCCGCGCUGCAUUAGCUAGUUGGUAAGGUAACGGCUUACCAAGGCAACGAUGCAUAGCCGACCUGAGAGGGUGAUCGGCCACACUGGAACUGAGACACGGUCCAGACUCCUACGGGAGGCAGCAGUAGGGAAUCUUCCGCAAUGGGCGAAAGCCUGACGGAGCAACGCCGCGUGAGUGAUGAAGGUCUUCGGAUCGUAAAACUCUGUUAUUAGGGAAGAACAUAUGUGUAAGUAACUGUGCACAUCUUGACGGUACCUAAUCAGAAAGCCACGGCUAACUACGUG